GGGCAUUGGUUGAGUUGACACGAACCUUGUUCACACUACCUUCACUCAUCUUGUAUUUUGAAAAUGAGUUCCAAUGGUCCCUUAACUUUGGCCACUCAUUAAAAUAUGGUGUGUUCGGCCCUUCUUGAUAAAGUUGGCAUCCAGAUUCUUCUUGAAGGUCUAGAAUUGGGUUGCCAUCUUCUUCAGUGUCCAGUCUUUCAUAAUUUUUUCUUCAACACUAUCAGGAAGUGUGAAGUGUUUCUUGACAUCUGCCCACAACAUAUCCUUCUGUGUCUGCGGGAGCACGUAUGAAUCAUUUUGUUUACCCUUCCAUUCUCUAAUGCUGAUGGGCACGUUGUCCCUUACAAUAGCCCUACAUUGACUCAUGAACUUUCUAGCCACAUUUUCAGAAGCAAUUGGCUAGCCCCCUUCUGUCACUUCGGUGAUGU
rnacentral:lncRNA from 1 species